UUAAGCGACUAAGCGUACACGGUGGAUGCCCUGGCAGUCAGAGGCGAUGAAGGACGUGCUAAUCUGCGAUAAGCGUCGGUAAGGUGAUAUGAACCGUUAUAACCGGCGAUUUCCGAAUGGGGAAACCCAGUGUGAUUCGUCACACUAUCAUUAACUGAAUCCAUAGGUUAAUGAGGCGAACCGGGGGAACUGAAACAUCUAAGUACCCCGAGGAAAAGAAAUCAACCGAGAUUCCCCCAGUAGCGGCGAGCGAACGGGGAGCAGCCCAGAGCCUGAAUCAGUGUGUGUGUUAGUGGAAGCGUCUGGAAAGGCGCGCGAUACAGGGUGACAGCCCCGUACACAAAAAUGCACAUACUGUGAGCUCGAUGAGUAGGGCGGGACACGUGGUAUCCUGUCUGAAUAUGGGGGGACCAUCCUCCAAGGCUAAAUACUCCUGACUGACCGAUAGUGAACCAGUACCGUGAGGGAAAGGCGAAAAGAACCCCGGCGAGGGGAGUGAAAAAGAACCUGAAACCGUGUACGUACAAGCAGUGGGAGCCUCUUUAUGGGGUGACUGCGUACCUUUUGUAUAAUGGGUCAGCGACUUAUAUUCUGUAGCAAGGUUAACCGAAUAGGGGAGCCGAAGGGAAACCGAGUCUUAACUGGGCGUUAAGUUGCAGGGUAUAGACCCGAAACCCGGUGAUCUAGCCAUGGGCAGGUUGAAGGUUGGGUAACACUAACUGGAGGACCGAACCGACUAAUGUUGAAAAAUUAGCGGAUGACUUGUGGCUGGGGGUGAAAGGCCAAUCAAACCGGGAGAUAGCUGGUUCUCCCCGAAAGCUAUUUAGGUAGCGCCUCGUGAAUUCAUCUCCGGGGGUAGAGCACUGUUUCGGCAAGGGGGUCAUCCCGACUUACCAACCCGAUGCAAACUGCGAAUACCGGAGAAUGUUAUCACGGGAGACACACGGCGGGUGCUAACGUCCGUCGUGAAGAGGGAAACAACCCAGACCGCCAGCUAAGGUCCCAAAGUCAUGGUUAAGUGGGAAACGAUGUGGGAAGGCCCAGACAGCCAGGAUGUUGGCUUAGAAGCAGCCAUCAUUUAAAGAAAGCGUAAUAGCUCACUGGUCGAGUCGGCCUGCGCGGAAGAUGUAACGGGGCUAAACCAUGCACCGAAGCUGCGGCAGCGACACUAUGUGUUGUUGGGUAGGGGAGCGUUCUGUAAGCCUGUGAAGGUGUGCUGUGAGGUAUGCUGGAGGUAUCAGAAGUGCGAAUGCUGACAUAAGUAACGAUAAAGCGGGUGAAAAGCCCGCUCGCCGGAAGACCAAGGGUUCCUGUCCAACGUUAAUCGGGGCAGGGUGAGUCGACCCCUAAGGCGAGGCCGAAAGGCGUAGUCGAUGGGAAACAGGUUAAUAUUCCUGUACUUGGUGUUACUGCGAAGGGGGGACGGAGAAGGCUAUGUUGGCCGGGCGACGGUUGUCCCGGUUUAAGCGUGUAGGCUGGUUUUCCAGGCAAAUCCGGAAAAUCAAGGCUGAGGCGUGAUGACGAGGCACUACGGUGCUGAAGCAACAAAUGCCCUGCUUCCAGGAAAAGCCUCUAAGCAUCAGGUAACAUCAAAUCGUACCCCAAACCGACACAGGUGGUCAGGUAGAGAAUACCAAGGCGCUUGAGAGAACUCGGGUGAAGGAACUAGGCAAAAUGGUGCCGUAACUUCGGGAGAAGGCACGCUGAUAUGUAGGUGAAGUCCCUUGCGGAUGGAGCUGAAAUCAGUCGAAGAUACCAGCUGGCUGCAACUGUUUAUUAAAAACACAGCACUGUGCAAACACGAAAGUGGACGUAUACGGUGUGACGCCUGCCCGGUGCCGGAAGGUUAAUUGAUGGGGUUAGCGGUAACGCGAAGCUCUUGAUCGAAGCCCCGGUAAACGGCGGCCGUAACUAUAACGGUCCUAAGGUAGCGAAAUUCCUUGUCGGGUAAGUUCCGACCUGCACGAAUGGCGUAAUGAUGGCCAGGCUGUCUCCACCCGAGACUCAGUGAAAUUGAACUCGCUGUGAAGAUGCAGUGUACCCGCGGCAAGACGGAAAGACCCCGUGAACCUUUACUAUAGCUUGACACUGAACAUUGAGCCUUGAUGUGUAGGAUAGGUGGGAGGCUUUGAAGUGUGGACGCCAGUCUGCAUGGAGCCGACCUUGAAAUACCACCCUUUAAUGUUUGAUGUUCUAACGUUGGCCCCUGAUCGGGGUUGCGGACAGUGUCUGGUGGGUAGUUUGACUGGGGCGGUCUCCUCCUAAAGAGUAACGGAGGAGCACGAAGGUUGGCUAAUCCUGGUCGGACAUCAGGAGGUUAGUGCAAUGGCAUAAGCCAGCUUGACUGCGAGCGUGACGGCGCGAGCAGGUGCGAAAGCAGGUCAUAGUGAUCCGGUGGUUCUGAAUGGAAGGGCCAUCGCUCAACGGAUAAAAGGUACUCCGGGGAUAACAGGCUGAUACCGCCCAAGAGUUCAUAUCGACGGCGGUGUUUGGCACCUCGAUGUCGGCUCAUCACAUCCUGGGGCUGAAGUAGGUCCCAAGGGUAUGGCUGUUCGCCAUUUAAAGUGGUACGCGAGCUGGGUUUAGAACGUCGUGAGACAGUUCGGUCCCUAUCUGCCGUGGGCGCUGGAGAACUGAGGGGGGCUGCUCCUAGUACGAGAGGACCGGAGUGGACGCAUCACUGGUGUUCGGGUUGUCAUGCCAAUGGCACUGCCCGGUAGCUAAAUGCGGAAGAGAUAAGUGCUGAAAGCAUCUAAGCACGAAACUUGCCCCGAGAUGAGUUCUCCCUGACUCCUUGAGAGUCCUGAAGGAACGUUGAAGACGACGACGUUGAUAGGCCGGGUGUGUAAGCGCAGCGAUGCGUUGAGCUAACCGGUACUAAUGAACCGUGAGGCUUAACCU
rnacentral:rRNA from 1 species